GGUGUAGUGGCCGAGUGGUUUUAAGGCGGAAGAAUCAGGGUCUUCUGGGCUUUGCCCGCGCAGGUUCGAAUCCUGCCUACAUCG